rnacentral:rRNA from 1 species
GACGAACGCUGGCGGCGUGCUUAACACAUGCAAGUCGAGCGGUAAGGCCUUUCGGGGUACACGAGCGGCGAACGGGUGAGUAACACGUGGGUGAUCUGCCCUGCACUUCGGGAUAAGCCUGGGAAACUGGGUCUAAUACCGGAUAUGACCUCCUAUCACAUGGUGGGUGGUGGAAAGAUUUAUCGGUGCAGGAUGGGCCCGCGGCCUAUCAGCUUGUUGGUGGGGUAAUGGCCUACCAAGGCGACGACGGGUAGCCGACCUGAGAGGGUGACCGGCCACACUGGGACUGAGACACGGCCCAGACUCCUACGGGAGGCAGCAGUGGGGAAUAUUGCACAAUGGGCGAAAGCCUGAUGCAGCGACGCCGCGUGAGGGAUGACGGCCUUCGGGUUGUAAACCUCUUUCAGCAGGGACGAAGCGCAAGUGACGGUACCUGCAGAAGAAGCACCGGCUAACUACGUG